AUUGAACGCUGGCGGCAUGCUUCACACAUGCAAGUCGAACGGUAACAGGCCGCAAGGUGCUGACGAGUGGCGAACGGGUGAGUAAUGCAUCGGAACGUGCCCAGUCGUGGGGGAUAACGCAGCGAAAGCUGCGCUAAUACCGCAUACGAUCUGUGGAUGAAAGCGGGGGACCGAAAGGCCUCGCGCGAUUGGAGCGGCCGAUGUCAGAUUAGGUAGUUGGUGGGGUAAAGGCCCACCAAGCCAACGAUCUGUAGCUGGUCUGAGAGGACGACCAGCCACACUGGGACUGAGACACGGCCCAGACUCCUACGGGAGGCAGCAGUGGGGAAUUUUGGACAAUGGGCGCAAGCCUGAUCCAGCAAUGCCGCGUGCAGGAAGAAGGCCUUCGGGUUGUAAACUGCUUUUGUACGGAACGAAACGGCUCUGGUUAAUACCUGGGGCUAAUGACGGUACCGUAAGAAUAAGCACCGGCUAACUACGUGCCAGCAGCCGCAGUAACAC
rnacentral:rRNA from 1 species